rnacentral:rRNA from 1 species
GACGAACGCUGGCGGCGUGCUUAACACAUGCAAGUCGAACGGAAAGGCCUUUUCGGAGGUACUCGAGUGGCGAACGGGUGAGUAACACGUGGGUGAUCUGCCCUGCACUCUGGGAUAAGCCUGGGAAACUGGGUCUAAUACCGGAUAGGACCGCACUUUAGUGUGUGUGGUGGAAAGUUUUUUCGGUGUAGGAUGAGCCCGCGGCCUAUCAGCUUGUUGGUGGGGUAAUGGCUUACCAAGGCGGCGACGGGUAGCCGGACUGAGAGGUUGGUCGGCCACAUUGGGACUGAGUUACGGCCCAGACUGCUACGGGAGGCAGCAGUGGGGAAUAUUGCACAAUGGGCGCAAGCCUGAUGCAGCGACGCCGCGUGGGGGAUGACGGCCUUCGGGUUGUAAACUCCUUUCGCCAGGGACGAAGCGUUUUGUGACGGUACCUGGAGAAGAAGCACCGGCUAACUACGUG